GACGAACGCUGGCGGCGUGCCUAACACAUGCAAGUCGAACGGGGUAAAUUGCUUCGGUGAUUUACUUAGUGGCGAACGGGUGAGUAACGCGUGAGAAACCUGCCUCUCAGUGGGGGACAACAGUUGGAAACGACUGCUAAUACCGCAUAACACAUCGAGGGGGCAUCCCUUUGAUGUCAAAGAUUUAUCGCUGAAAGAUGGGCUCGCGUCUGAUUAGAUAGUUGGUGGGGUAACGGCCUACCAAGUCGACGAUCAGUAGCCGGACUGAGAGGUUGAACGGCCACAUUGGGACUGAAGAUACGGCCCAGACUCCUACGGGAGGCAGCAGUGGGGAAUAUUGGGCAAUGGGGGAAACCCUGACCCAGCAACGCCGCGUGAAGGAAGAAAGGCUUUCGGGUUGUAAACUUCUUUACCAGGGACGAAGACGUGACGGUACCUGGAGAAAAAGCCACGGCUAACUACGUG
rnacentral:rRNA from 1 species